UUUCCCUCAGGAUAGCUGGAGCUCGCGUGCGAGUUCUAUCGGAUAAAGCCAAUGAUUAGAGGCAUCGGGGGCGCAACGCCCUCGACCUAUUCUCAAACUUUAAAUAGGUAGGACAACACGACUGCUUUGUUGAGCCGCGCCACGGAAUCAAGAGCUCCAAGUGGGCCAUGUUUGGUAAGCGGAACUGGCGAUGCGGGAUGAACCG
rnacentral:rRNA from 1 species